UCCAAUCGAACGCGGAGAUAGCUGGUUCUCCCCGAAAUAGCUUUAGGGCUAGCCUGAGGUAGUAAGUAUAGGCGGUAGAGCACUGAUCGGGCUAGGGGCCGUAAAGGUUACCGAACCCUGUCAAACUCCGAAUGGAUAUACUGUAGAGCCUUGGAGUCAGACUACGAGUGAUAAGAUCCGUGGUCAAAAGGGAAACAGCCCAGACCACCAGCUAAGGUCCCCAAUGUCGUACUAAGUGGAAAAGGAUGUGGGGUUUCAUAAACAACCAGGAUGUUGGCUCAGAAGCAGCCACCAUUUAAAGAGUGCGUAAUAGCUCACUGGUCGAGAGACCCUGCGCCGAAGAUUCCCGGGGCUAAAGUACGAAACCGAAGCUGUGGCUGUAUACGUAAAGUAUACGGGGUAGGGGAGCGUUCCCAUAGGGUAGAAGUCGAACUGGAAGGUUCGGUGGACUUGUGGGAAGUGAGAAUGUUGGUAUGAGUAGCGAAAAGAAAGGUGAGAAUCCUUUCCACCGAAAGCAUAAGGAUUCCUGAGCAACGAUCGUCGUCUCAGGGUAAGUCGGGACCUAAUCCGAGGCAGAGAGCGUAGGAGAUGGACAACUGGUUGAUAUUCCAGUACCGGUAGUAAUUGUUUGAGCAAUGGAGUGACACAGAAGGGCAGGCAAGCAUGCGAAUGGAAGAGCAUGUGUAAGCGUGUAGGGUGGUGCAUAGGCAAAUCCGUGCACUGAAAGCCUGAGGCGUGAUGCGGAGUGAGCAGAGAUGCGAGCGAAGUUGUUGACCCCACACUGUCGAGAAAAGCUUCUAGUGAGAGAGCUACCGCCCGUACCGUAAACCGACACAGGUAUGCGGGGAGAGAAUCCUAAGGUGCGCGGGAGAACCCUCGUUAAGGAACUCGGCAAAAUGUACCCGUAACUUCGGGAUAAGGGUAGCCACUGUUGUGAAGUCCCAUGCGGAUGGAGCAUAGAGUGGUCGCAGAGAAGAGGCCCAAGCGACUGUUUACCAUAAACACAGGUGCCUGCUAAAGCGAAAGCUGACGUAUAGGUGCUGACACCUGCCCAGUGCCGGAAGGUUAAGGAAGGAUGUUCGGAUUAGUCCAAAGCAUUCGACUGAAGCCCCGGUGAACGGCGGCCGUAACUAUAACGGUCCUAAGGUAGCGAAAUUCCUUGUCGGGU
rnacentral:rRNA from 1 species